CUCAGGAUGAACGCUAGCGGCAGGCUUAACACAUGCAAGUCGAGGGGCAGCGGGGAGGAAGCUUGCUUUCUCCGCCGGCGACCGGCGCACGGGUGAGUAACACGUAUGCAACCUGCCCCUGUCAAGGGGACAACCCGCCGAAAGGCGGGCUAAACCCGCGUACAUGCCACCGGGGCAUCCCGGAGGCAGGAAAGGCUUCGGCCGGACAGGGAUGGGCAUGCGGCGCAUUAGGCAGUAGGCGGGGUAACGGCCCACCUAACCGACGAUGCGUAGGGGUUCUGAGAGGAAGGUCCCCCACACUGGUACUGAGACACGGACCAGACUCCUACGGGAGGCAGCAGUGAGGAAUAUUGGUCAAUGGUCGGGAGACUGAACCAGCCAAGCCGCGUGAGGGAGGAAGGUACAGAGUAUCGUAAACCUCUUUUGUCAGGGAACAAAGACUGGGACGCGUCCCCGGAUGAGUGUACCUGAAGAAAAAGCAUCGGCUAACUCCGUGCCAGCAGCCGCGGUAAUACGGAGGAUGCGAGCGUUAUCCGGAUUUAUUGGGUUUAAAGGGUGCGCAGGCGGUCUGUUAAGUCAGCGGCCAAAGCCCGGGGCUCAACCCCGGCCCGCCGUUGAAACUGGCAGUCUCGAGUUGGAGAGAAGUAUGCGGAAUGCGCGGUGUAGCGGUGAAAUGCAUAGAUAUCGCGCAGAACUCCGAUUGCGAAGGCAGCAUGCCGGCUCCACACUGACGCUGAGGCACGAAAGCGUGGGUAUCGAACAGGAUUAGAUACCCUGGUAGUCCACGCAGUAAACGAUGAAUGCUGGCUGUCCGGGGGGACUGACCCCUGGGUGGCGAAGCGAAAGCGAUAAGCAUUCCACCUGGGGAGUACGCCGGCAACGGUGAAACUCAAAGGAAUUGACGGGGGCCCGCACAAGCGGAGGAACAUGUGGUUUAAUUCGAUGAUACGCGAGGAACCUUACCCGGGCUCAAACGGGGAGUGGCGCAGGCAGAGACGCCUGUUUCCCACGGGACACUCCCCGAGGUGCUGCAUGGUUGUCGUCAGCUCGUGCCGUGAGGUGUCGGCUUAAGUGCCAUAACGAGCGCAACCCCCGCGUGCAGUUGCUAACAGUCAACGCUGAGGACUCUGCACGGACUGCCGGCGCAAGCCGCGAGGAAGGCGGGGAUGACGUCAAAUCAGCACGGCCCUUACGUCCGGGGCGACACACGUGUUACAAUGGGUGGUACAGCGGGAAGCCAGGCGGCGACGCCGAGCGGAACCCGAAAUCCACUCUCAGUUCGGAUCGGAGUCUGCAACCCGACUCCGUGAAGCUGGAUUCGCUAGUAAUCGCGCAUCAGCCAUGGCGCGGUGAAUACGUUCCCGGGCCUUGUACACCGCCCGUCAAGCCAUGGGAGCCGAGGGCGCUUGAAGUGCGUCGCCGCGAGGCGCGCCCUAGAGCGAAAUCGGUGACUGGGGCUAAGUCGUAACAAGGUA
rnacentral:rRNA from 1 species